AGGAAGGCUCUCCAAAAUCUUCAUUGCAAUAAGGGCUCCCCAGAGACUGCGGAUAGGACAAUUGUGCAGGUGGGCUAGACAUGUGCGAGGAACUGGGAGGUAGAACAAGCAACUGACACUAAUUGACCAAAGGAGUAUUUCAUUCCAUAUGAUGCUGUGCUCAGUAAGAAAAGCUCAGGGAAAGGAGGAGGAAGCAGUGAAAGCUGUUAUCUGUUUCAUAGUGGAAAAGUUCUAAGAAAUCUCAGUAUGUUUUCCUCUAUUCUGCUGGAGGCCGUGUAAAACUGGAAGACACCAAAUGAUGGUGUCCAAUCAUCUUUUGCUACUUGUGUUCCCACCUGUCAGAAAAAACCUACAAGGCUGCCCUCACCAAAGAUUCCUUGGUUGUCACAGAAAUUUUGGAUUUUAUUAAGGCUGAAUGCUUAUUGUUAAUACUUCUAAAGAUGGUACUGCUUUUAAAGUCUGAGUUUGAGAAAAGAAAUGAGACCGCUGCAGUAACUUCUAUAUCAAAUGUGGCAGAUUCAUCAUGGAUAUACCUAUUUGCUCUAUUUCCUUUUUUCUUUGAUUGUCUUCUAGAUAACUGAAUUGCAAAAGUUGAAUAAUAAGGAAUUGUUUACCUUCUAUAUAUGCAGAACAAAUAAAAUACAUCCCCCUAGCAUAGUGACUAAUGAU